rnacentral:rRNA from 1 species
AGAAUCAACGCUGGCGGCGUGCCUAACACAUGCAAGUCGAACGCGAAAGGGGCUUCGGCCCUGAGUAGAGUGGCGAACGGGUGAGUAACACGUGGGUGAUCUACCUUUGAGUGGGGGAUAACGUCCCGAAAGGGACGCUAAUACCGCAUGACGUUCUGGGUUUAAAGACCUGGAAACCAAAGCCGGGGACCGCAAGGCCUGGCGCUUGAAGAGGAGCCCGCGUCCGAUUAGCUAGUUGGCGGGUAACGCCCACCAAGGCGACGAUCGGUAGCC